GAGCCUCUCUGAGCCUUAUUUUCCUUUCCUGUAAAAUGAAGCUGGUUACAAUACCUUCUUCCUAAGGGUGUUAUGAGGCAUCAGUGAGACGUGGCAUGUAGAAGCAUGAACUUGGAGUUUACCAGCAAACCUGGAGUGUCCCCAGGAGGGUACCAUCAGAUCGCUGGAGGACCCUGAACUCCUGCCAUGAGUUCAUGGUGACAGACCAUUGGCUGAGCCCAGAGACAAGACCCUCACACUUUCAGUGCUGGAGAUUGGAAUUCUGUGACUGGGGUGCCAGCAUGGUCAGUUUCCGAUGGGGACCCUUUUCCUGGCUUGCAGACGACCACCUCCUGCUGCGUCCUCAUGUGAUGGAGAGAGGGUGCCUCUUCCUAGAAGGGCUGGUCUUACCAGAUCAGAGGAUGCCCUGUCCAGCUUCUUGGCUCUGAGUCUGCCCUCACCCAGAUCUAGCUCCAUUGGCCUUCUCACAUCUGCUGGGAUAGAAAAGGGUACAGCACCUAUGGUCUGAAAACAGUCACAGAAACCCGUUCAAAAGCCAUCGUGGCCAUGUAGGAGAUGGCCACCCCUCGCUGGGUCCUCACCUGACUUUUGCACGUGCACACAGGUAGGAGGUGGGGGAAGGAGAGAGAGAGACAGAGACAGAGAGACUCAGAGACGGGGGUGGGGUGAACAGCACUUCCGUCAGGCGUGUCUUCUCAUAAGGAUGCUUGUCUCAUUGGAUCAGCGACCCACUCUUGCCUCACUUCACCUUAAUGGCUUCCUUAUGGGCCCCAUCUCCAAAUCUCCAAAUCGGCCAAAUCACAGGGGGUUUGGGGUCAACAUAUGAUUGGGGUCCCUGAUGCUGGGAUUCAUAGCUGGUGUUUCAGAACCAGAAGCAGACAGGACUAGAUGUUAGGAAGUAAAGACUCUACCUGACCGAUGGGGAGGUGACCCGGCCAUGAGAGGUGCAGCCAGUCGUGUCCACCUCAUCCUGUCUCAAGGAGCAAUGCUCGUGGAGACAUCAGGACAGCUCUUGUCUGUCUGGUGAGUGUCUGCCUGAAUCUGGUGCACAGAGUCAAGGCAGCUGUCCAAUGUCACCCAAGUAUAAGUGGGCAAUUCCUCAGGGCUAGAUGUAUUUUGGAAUUAGAUGUUCUUUUCAAAAUUUAAAAAAAAAAGAAAAAAAGCACUGGUAA